UACAUGGGGUGCAAACGUUGCUCGGAAUUAUUGGGCGUAAAGAGCUCGUAGGCGGUCUGUCGCGUCGGCUGUGAAAACCCGAGGCUCAACCUCGGGCCUGCAGUCGAUACGGGCAAACUAGAGUACUGCAGGGGAGACUGGAAUUCCUGGUGUAGCGGUGAAAUGCGCAGAUAUCAGGAGGAACACCGGUGGCGAAGGCGGGUCUCUGGGCAGUAACUGACGCUGAGGAGCGAAAGCGUGGGGAGCGAACAGG
rnacentral:rRNA from 1 species